UCCUUGGUAGCUCAGUUGGUAGAGCAUGGCGCUUGUAAUGCCAUGGUAGUAGGUUCAAUUCCCGGGAC
rnacentral:tRNA from 1 species